rnacentral:tRNA from 2 species
GGAGGCAUAGCUCAGCUGGUCAGAGCGCACGCUUCACAUGCGUGAGGUCGCGGGUUCGAGCCCCUCUGUCUCCACCA